rnacentral:ncRNA from 1 species
AAUUGACGAGGUGGGAACAGCUACCCCACACGCCCGGCAACGGGUAAUUAGGUCUUUCGAGGCUGAAGAGAUGCAGGUUGGCAACUGCCGUUGUAU